rnacentral:tRNA from 2 species
UAGAAAGUGGUGUAGCGGAAGCACUAAGAGUUUUGAUCUCUUGGGUAUGGGUUCGACCCCCUUCUUUCUAA